rnacentral:rRNA from 1 species
UUGAACGCUGGCGGCAGGCCUAACACAUGCAAGUCGAACGGUAACAGGAAACAGCUUGCUGUUUCGCUGACGAGUGGCGGACGGGUGAGUAAUGUCUGGGAAACUGCCUGAUGGAGGGGGAUAACUACUGGAAACGGUAGCUAAUACCGCAUAACGUCGCAGGACCAAAGAGGGGGACCUUCGGGCCUCUUGCCAUCGGAUGUGCCCAGAUGGGAUUAGCUUGUUGGUGGGGUAACGGCUCACCAAGGCGACGAUCCCUAGCUGGUCUGAGAGGAUGACCAGCCACACUGGAACUGAGACACGGUCCAGACUCCUACGGGAGGCAGCAGUGGGGAAUAUUGCACAAUGGGCGCAAGCCUGAUGCAGCCAUGCCGCGUGUAUGAAGAAGGCCUUCGGGUUGUAAAGUACUUUCAGCGGGGAGGAAGGGAGUAAAGUUAAUACCUUUGCUCAUUGACGUUACCCGCAGAAGAAGCACCGGCUAACUCCGUGCCAGCAGCCGCGGUAAUACGGAGGGUGCAAGCGUUAAUCGGAAUUACUGGGCGUAAAGCGCACGCAGGCGGUUUGUUAAGUCAGAUGUGAAAUCCCCGGGCUCAACCUGGGAACUGCAUCUGAUACUGGCAAGCUUGAGUCUCGUAGAGGGGGGUAGAAUUCCAGGUGUAGCGGUGAAAUGCGUAGAGAUCUGGAGGAAUACCGGUGGCGAAGGCGGCCCCCUGGACGAAGACUGACGCUCAGGUGCGAAAGCGUGGGGAGCAAACAGGAUUAGAUACCCUGGUAGUCCACGCCGUAAACGAUGUCGACUUGGAGGUUGUGCCCUUGAGGCGUGGCUUCCGGAGCUAACGCGUUAAGUCGACCGCCUGGGGAGUACGGCCGCAAGGUUAAAACUCAAAUGAAUUGACGGGGGCCCGCACAAGCGGUGGAGCAUGUGGUUUAAUUCGAUGCAACGCGAAGAACCUUACCUGGUCUUGACAUCCACGGAAGUUUUCAGAGAUGAGAAUGUGCCUUCGGGAACCGUGAGACAGGUGCUGCAUGGCUGUCGUCAGCUCGUGUUGUGAAAUGUUGGGUUAAGUCCCGCAACGAGCGCAACCCUUAUCCUUUGUUGCCAGCGGUCCGGCCGGGAACUCAAAGGAGACUGCCAGUGAUAAACUGGAGGAAGGUGGGGAUGACGUCAAGUCAUCAUGGCCCUUACGACCAGGGCUACACACGUGCUACAAUGGCGCAUACAAAGAGAAGCGACCUCGCGAGAGCAAGCGGACCUCAUAAAGUGCGUCGUAGUCCGGAUUGGAGUCUGCAACUCGACUCCAUGAAGUCGGAAUCGCUAGUAAUCGUGGAUCAGAAUGCCACGGUGAAUACGUUCCCGGGCCUUGUACACACCGCCCGUCACACCAUGGGAGUGGGUUGCAAAAGAAGUAGGUAGCUUAACCUUCGGGAGGGCGCUUACCACUUUGUGAUUCAUGACUGGGGUG